rnacentral:misc_RNA from 1 species
AACUGAUCUUCAAGAUCGAAUCCUCUGAUAUGGGUGUGUUAUAUGUUAAAAAAAAAAAACAAUCCAAGCCGAUACUUGUGUAGUGGAAUGUAAAAUGAGUCGAUCGUAAAAUUCUCAGGGAAAUAUAAAAUUAAAAACUUUUCAAGAUGUUUUAUUUUCUAGUGCAGAUUUUGAGAUUGUGUUUAGUUAUUUCUCCUAGUUACUAUAUCAUUUUGCAAACCUGAACCGGUUUCUUGCAGUGUAUUCAAGAGGGGUAGGAACUGAAAUUAUGAACAAUUUGUUGAUGCCUUCAUGAGAAAACUACUCAAAAAAUUGUUCAUAAUUUCAGUUCCUACCCC